rnacentral:pre_miRNA from 1 species
GAGGUACUCCCUCCGUCCGGAAAUACUUGUCAUCGAAAUGGAUAAAAAGGGAUGUAUCUAGAUGUAUUUUAGUUCUAGAUACAUCUCUUUUUAUCCAUUUUGAUGACUAGUAUUUCUGGACGGAGGGAGUAGUAG